rnacentral:rRNA from 1 species
UGGGGAAUAUUGCACAAUGGGCGAAAGCCUGAUGCAGCGACGCCGCGUGCGGGAUGAAGGCCUUCGGGUUGUAAACCGCUUUUAAUUGGGAGCAAGCGAGAGUGAGUGUACCUUUUGAAUAAGCACCGGCUAACUACGUGCCAGCAGCCGCGGUAAUACGUAGGGUGCAAGCGUUAUCCGGAAUUAUUGGGCGUAAAGAGCUCGUAGGCGGUUUGUCACGCCUGGUGUGAAAGUCCAUCGCUUAACGGUGGAUCUGCGCCGGGUACGGGCAGGCUAGAGUGCAGUAGGGGAGAUUGGAAUUCCCGGUGUAACGGUGGAAUGUGUAGAUAUCGGGAAGAACACCAAUGGCGAAGGCAGAUCUCUGGGC